rnacentral:rRNA from 1 species
GGAAACCGGGGCUAAUACCGGAUGGUUGUUUGAACCGCAUGGUUCAGACAUAAAAGGUGGCUUCGGCUACCACUUACAGAUGGACCCGCGGCGCACUAGCUAGUUGGUGAGGUAACGGCUCACCAAGGCAACGAUGCGUAGCCUACCUGAGAGGGUGAUCGGCCACACUGGGACUGAGACACGGCCCAGACUCCUACGGGAGGCAGCAGUAGGGAAUCUUCCGCAAUGGACGAAAGUCUGACGGAGCAACGCCGCGUGAGUGAUGAAGGUUUUCGGAUCGUAAAGCUCUGUUGUUAGGGAAGAACAAGUGCCGUUCAAAUAGGGCGGCACCUUGACGGUACCUAACCAGAAAGCCACGGCUAACUACGUGCCAGCAGCCGCAGUAAUACGUAGGUGGCAAGCGUUGUCCGGAAUUAUUGGGCGUAAAGGGCUCGCAGGCGGUUUCUUAAGUCUGAUGUGAAAGCCCCCGGCUCAACCGGGGAGGGUCAUUGGAAACUGGGGAACUUGAGUGCAGAAGAGGAGAGUGGAAUUCCACGUGUAGCGGUGAAAUGCGUAGAGAUGUGGAGGAACACCAGUGGCGAAGGCGACUCUCUGGUCUGUAACUGACGCUGAGGAGCGAAAGCGUGGGGAGCGAACAGGAUUAGAUACCCUGGUAGUCCACGCCGUAAACGAUGAGUGCUAAGUGUUUAGGGGGUUUCCGCCCCUUAGUGCUGCAGCUAACGCAUUAAGCACUCCGCCUGGGGAGUACGGUCGCAAGACUGAAACUCAAAGGAAUUGACGGGGGCCCGCACAAGCGGUGGAGCAUGUGGUUUAAUUCGAAGCAACGCGAAGAACCUUACCAGGUCUUGACAUCCUCUGACAAUCCUAGAGAUAGGACGUCCCCUUCGGGGGCAGAAUGACAGUGGUGCAUGGUUGUCGUCAGCUCGUGUCGUGAAAUGUUGGGUUAAGUCCCGCAACGAG